rnacentral:lncRNA from 1 species
UGUUUUUAAUGCUAUCGCUCAUUGUUUAGCGAAAGCUGCGAGAAAUUUUAUUUCACAUCAUGUUUGGACUGAACCCCCAACUUAUGUGGUGGGUCUACUCCAUAUCCAAUGUUCUUGUGAGCAAUAAAAAAUCUUUCUUUUCCUUCAAAAAAAAAAAAUAAUAUGUAGUAAGAUAUAGCAAUCACUAAAAGAGAAAAAAAAAUAAAAAUAAAAUAAAAUGUAAGUUAUAGGUCAAGCCGCGUAGAAAUUUAGUGAAUAUAUUUAACAAAUACACAAUUAAACUAAUUUCCGCGCAACCUUUACCUAUAAUAAUUAUAAACACA